GACGAACGCUGGCGGCGUGCUUAACACAUGCAAGUCGAACGGAAAGGCCCUGCUUUUGUGGGGUGCUCGAGUGGCGAACGGGUGAGUAACACGUGAGUAACCUGCCCUUGACUUUGGGAUAACUUCAGGAAACUGGGGCUAAUACCGGAUAGGAGCUCCUGCUGCAUGGUGGGGGUUGGAAAGUUUCGGCGGUUGGGGAUGGACUCGCGGCUUAUCAGCUUGUUGGUGGGGUAGUGGCUUACCAAGGCUUUGACGGGUAGCCGGCCUGAGAGGGUGACCGGCCACUUGGGACCGAGGAUACGGCCCAGACUCCUACGGGGGGCAGCAGGGGGGAUAUUGCACAAUGGGCGGAAGCCUGAUGCAGCAACGCCGCGUGCGGGAUGACGGCCUUCGGGUUGUAAACCGCUUUCGCCUGUGACGAAGCGUGAGUGACGGUAAUGGGUAAAGAAGCACCGGCUAACUACGUG
rnacentral:rRNA from 1 species